CUCUAGUCCGACUUUGUGAAAUGACUUGAGAGGUGUAGUAUAAGUGGGAGCCGAAAGGCGAAAGUGAAAUACCACUACUUUUAACGUUAUUUUACUUAUUCCGUGAAUCGGAAGCGGGGCACUGCCCCUCUUUUUGNUAACGGUUUAUCGGGGCUCGCUUGCAGUCACCAGGCCUAUGUCCGCGGGCGAUGUGCCAAUACAACGUCGCAAGUACAGGUUUAUCGGGGCGUUGCUUGCGUCGCAAAGGCCUAUGGCGAGGGCGAUGUGCCGAUACAAUGUCGCAAGUAGAG
rnacentral:ncRNA from 1 species